CCCCGGCUCCGAGGUUCACGCCUAAAGCUAUAGAGCGCCCUCUCGGGGUCGGAAUGGAAUCCUACCGUCGUGAGUUCCAAGGCCGGCCUCUGAACAGGGCUGUUUCAAAGGCGCUUACCUUUCAAGACAGAAAUGGCUAAAAAAUACAAAUUGCAGCUACCCUUCGUGCAGCUCAGGGCACUCCGAUGUAAGCCCUAAAUUCUUGUGGGGGCUUAUAUUCCCAGAUACAAUGUGUACAGGAUUGCACCCCAACGGCCAAUUAUCGACAUUUCCUUUUGCAGGAACAGGAGACCGUGGACCAAGUUACCUGGCUGAAAUAAGGGAAACCUCUGUUGUAGGAAGUUUUUGAUUCAGGACUUCCAGGCAACUGUCAAAGACAGUUAAAAGAUCGGAC